AAAGACUGGCGCACUGAGGGGCCACAGAGGGACAGGGAACUCCAGGUGUAGUGGUGAAAUGCGUAGAUAUCUGGAAGAACACCAAAGGCGAAGGCACUGUCCUGGGUGGUACCUGACGCUCAGGUGCGAAAGCUAGGGGAGCGAACGGGAUUAGAUACCCCGGUAGUCCUAGCCGUAAACGAUGACCACUAGAUGUGCGGGGUAUCGACCCCCUGCGUGUCGGAGCAAACGCGAUAAGUGGUCCGCCUGGGGAGUACGGUCGCAAGAUUAAAACUCAAAGGAAUUGACGGGGACCCGCACAAGCAGCGGAGCGUGUGGUUUAAUUCGAUGCAACGCGAAGAACCUUACCAGGGCUUGACAUGCUCUUGCACCGCCGAGAGAUCGGCGUCCCUUCGGGGCGGGAGCACAGGUGCUGCAUGGCUGUCGUCAGCUCGUGUCGUGAGAUGUUGGGUUAAGUCCCGCAACGAGCGCAACCCCUAUCGUCGGUUGGAAAUGUCCGGCGAGACUGCCGCGUUGAACGUGGAGGAAGGUGGGGAUGACGUCAAGUCAGCACGGCCCUUACGUCCUGGGCGACACACACGCUACAAUGGCCGGUACAAUGAGACGCCAACCCGCGAGGGGGAGCCAAUCUAGAAAAACCGGUCACGGUUCGGAUUGGAGGCUGCAACCCGCCUCCAUGAAGUGGGAGUUGCUAGUAACCGUGGGUCAGCACACCACGGUGAAUACGUUCCCGGGUCUUGUACACACCGCCCGUCACACCACGAAAGUCGGCAACACCUGAAGCCGCUGGGCUAACUCGCUUCGCAAGGAGAGGGAGGCAGGCGUCGAGGGUGGGGUUGGUGAUUGGGGUGAAGUCGUAACAAGGUACCAAUCCCGCGG
rnacentral:rRNA from 1 species